rnacentral:lncRNA from 1 species
AGCCCCCUCACUGUGUUGCUCCCACCACUCACCCGAUACCGACCCCCUCGCCCACGCCCGGGCAGGCAGGGCUGGGACACCAGACCUACCUGGGCCACGGGAUGCACUGGGCAGGUGGGGGUGGCAGGGACAGUGGCUUCUGAGUGCACAGGAGUGGCUGGUGUUUGACGAGAUCCGCCCUCAGGUAAGCGGCAUGAGGAGAAUGACACUAGCGGCUUGGGCAGAAGAGAGAAGGGCCGUUGAAGCAGACAGCGCCGGCUAUUUUCAGGCGGGCUCCAUUUGGGUGGCCUCCUGCCCCCUAAUAUCUGAUAUUGGGAAAGAAUGGUGGCUUUCCCGCUGCGGAAACUGUUUUCCUCAUCAGUUACAGCUGAGCACCUGCCUGCUCGCUGCUCACCGGGGGCACAGGCACUGCCCCUAAAAGCCGAGAGCCUCUCGCGCACGCGCAGUCCGCUUCCCAGAACCGGCCGGCUCCAGUCUGAUCCUGUCAAGGCUUGUUGGCCUAGAGCCUGGUCCUGCGCAGGUAUUUUCCAGUAUCCUGAGAGACCUUGCUGA